UCCUUUGAAAAAUGGAGCCUCCGGCCGGCCUUUGCCGAAUAAUUCGCAAGAAAAUAAAUUAGAGCGCGGCUCUAUUUUGUUCGUUAUAGACCGCCGCAAGAUUAAUAGGGAAGUCGGGCCUCAUAUUAACUGUCAGAGGUGAAUCUUGGACAGAUGAAGCCUACCUCUGCGGAAGCUCUCCAAGAGUGUUUCAAUAAUCGGGACGAAAGUUAGGGGAUCGAAGAGAUCAGAUACGUCGUAGUCCUAACCAUAACUAUCCGGCUAGGGAUCGGACGGUGUUAUUCAUGCCCCGUUCGGCACCUUACGAGAAAUCAAAGUGCCUGGGCUCAGGGGGAGUAUGGUCGCAAGGGCUGAACCUAAAGGAAUUGGCCGGAAGGGCCCCACCAGGGGUGGAGCCUGCGGCUUUAUUUGACUCAACACGGGGAAACUCACCAGGUCCAGACACAAUAAGGAUUGACAGAUCGAGAGCUCUUUCUUGAUUUUUGGGUGGUGGUGCAUGGCCGUUCUUAGUUGGUGGGGUGACUUGUCUGCUUAAUUGCGAUAACGAACGAGACCUUAACCUGCUAAAUAGCCCGCAUUGCUCCGGCAGUGCGCUGGCUUCUUAGAGGGACUUUCGGCUCAAGCCGAAGGAAGUUUGAGGCAAUAACAGGUCUGUGAUGCCCUUAGAUGUUCUGGGCCCGCACGCGCGCUACACUGACGGGGUCAGCGAGUUCCUCUCCCCGAAGGAGACCGGGUAAUCUUGUUAGCCCCCGCUCGUGCUGGGGAUAGAGCAUUGCACAUUAUUAACUCUUCUCGUCCUGUUUAAGUUCACCAAUCAUCAGCUUGCUGUUGUUCCUUGUUAGGCG
rnacentral:rRNA from 1 species